rnacentral:rRNA from 1 species
GGUUAAGCGACUAAGCGUACACGGUGGAUGCCCUGGCAGUCAGAGGCGAUGAAGGGCGUGCUAAUCUGCGAUAAGCGCCGGUAAGGUGAUAUGAACCGUUAUAACCGGCGAUACCCGAAUGGGGAAACCCAGUGUGAUUCGUCACACUAUCAUUAACUGAAUCCAUAGGUUAAUGAGGCGAACCGGGGGAACUGAAACAUCUAAGUACCCCGAGGAAAAGAAAUCAACCGAGAUUCCCCCAGUAGCGGCGAGCGAACGGGGAGGAGCCCAGAGCCUGAAUCAGCAUGUGUGUUAGUGGAAGCGUCUGGAAAGGUGCGCGAUACAGGGUGACAGCCCCGUACACAAAAGCGCAUGUGCUGUGAGCUCGAUGAGUAGGGCGGGACACGUGGUAUCCUGUCUGAAUAUGGGGGGACCAUCCUCCAAGGCUAAAUACUCCUGACUGACCGAUAGUGAACCAGUACCGUGAGGGAAAGGCGAAAAGAACCCCGGCGAGGGGAGUGAAAAAGAACCUGAAACCGUGUACGUACAAGCAGUGGGAGCACAGGUUUACCUGUGUGACUGCGUACCUUUUGUAUAAUGGGUCAGCGACUUAUAUUCUGUAGCAAGGUUAACCGAAUAGGGGAGCCGGAGGGAAACCGAGUCUUAAUUGGGCGUUAAGUUGCAGGGUAUAGACCCGAAACCCGGUGAUCUAGCCAUGGGCAGGUUGAAGGUUGGGUAACACUAACUGGAGGACCGAACCGACUAAUGUUGAAAAAUUAGCGGAUGACCUGUGGCUGGGGGUGAAAGGCCAAUCAAACCGGGAGAUAGCUGGUUCUCCCCGAAAGCUAUUUAGGUAGCGCCUCGUGAAUUCAUCUCCGGGGGUAGAGCACUGUUUCGGCUAGGGGGCCAUCCCGGCUUACCAACCCGAUGCAAACUGCGAAUACCGGAGAAUGUUAUCACGGGAGACACACGGCGGGUGCUAACGUCCGUCGUGAAGAGGGAAACAACCCAGACCGCCAGCUAAGGUCCCAAAGUCAUGGUUAAGUGGGAAACGAUGUGGGAAGGCCCAGACAGCCAGGAUGUUGGCUUAGAAGCAGCCAUCAUUUAAAGAAAGCGUAAUAGCUCACUGGUCGAGUCGGCCUGCGCGGAAGAUGUAACGGGGCUAAACCAUGCACCGAAGCUGCGGCAGCGAACGUAUCACUUAAAGCGAUUCAGCGGGUUACGAUUGACGGAGCGAAGCGACGUCAAAGCGUAUACAAAGUCGAGUCGGUUUAAGGAUACGUUCGUUGGGUAGGGGAGCGUUCUGUAAGCCCGUGAAGGUGGCCUGUGAGGGUUGCUGGAGGUAUCAGAAGUGCGAAUGCUGACAUAAGUAACGAUAAAGCGGGUGAAAAGCCCGCUCGCCGGAAGACCAAGGGUUCCUGUCCAACGUUAAUCGGGGCAGGGUGAGUCGACCCCUAAGGCGAGGCCGAAAGGCGUAGUCGAUGGGAAACGGGUUAAUAUUCCCGUACUUGGUGUUACUGCGAAGGGGGGACGGAGAAGGCUAUGUUGGCCGGGCGACGGUUGUCCCGGUUUAAGCGUGUAGGUGUGUGUUCCAGGUAAAUCCGGUUCACUUUAACACUGAGGCGUGACGACGAGGCACUACGGUGCUGAAGCAACAAAUGCCCUGCUUCCAGGAAAAGCCUCUAAGCAUCAGGUAACACGAAAUCGUACCCCAAACCGACACAGGUGGUCAGGUAGAGAAUACCAAGGCGCUUGAGAGAACUCGGGUGAAGGAACUAGGCAAAAUGGUGCCGUAACUUCGGGAGAAGGCACGCUGACACGUAGGUGAAGUGAUUUACUCAUGGAGCUGAAGUCAGUCGAAGAUACCAGCUGGCUGCAACUGUUUAUUAAAAACACAGCACUGUGCAAACACGAAAGUGGACGUAUACGGUGUGACGCCUGCCCGGUGCCGGAAGGUUAAUUGAUGGGGUCAGCGCAAGCGAAGCUCCUGAUCGAAGCCCCGGUAAACGGCGGCCGUAACUAUAACGGUCCUAAGGUAGCGAAAUUCCUUGUCGGGUAAGUUCCGACCUGCACGAAUGGCGUAAUGAUGGCCAGGCUGUCUCCACCCGAGACUCAGUGAAAUUGAACUCGCUGUGAAGAUGCAGUGUACCCGCGGCAAGACGGAAAGACCCCGUGAACCUUUACUAUAGCUUGACACUGAACAUUGAGCCUUGAUGUGUAGGAUAGGUGGGAGGCUUUGAAGUGUGGACGCCAGUCUGCAUGGAGCCGACCUUGAAAUACCACCCUUUAAUGUUUGAUGUUCUAACGUGGACCCGUAAUCCGGGUUGCGGACAGUGUCUGGUGGGUAGUUUGACUGGGGCGGUCUCCUCCUAAAGAGUAACGGAGGAGCACGAAGGUUGGCUAAUCCUGGUCGGACAUCAGGAGGUUAGUGCAAUGGCAUAAGCCAGCUUGACUGCGAGCGUGACGGCGCGAGCAGGUGCGAAAGCAGGUCAUAGUGAUCCGGUGGUUCUGAAUGGAAGGGCCAUCGCUCAACGGAUAAAAGGUACUCCGGGGAUAACAGGCUGAUACCGCCCAAGAGUUCAUAUCGACGGCGGUGUUUGGCACCUCGAUGUCGGCUCAUCACAUCCUGGGGCUGAAGUAGGUCCCAAGGGUAUGGCUGUUCGCCAUUUAAAGUGGUACGCGAGCUGGGUUUAGAACGUCGUGAGACAGUUCGGUCCCUAUCUGCCGUGGGCGCUGGAGAACUGAGGGGGGCUGCUCCUAGUACGAGAGGACCGGAGUGGACGCAUCACUGGUGUUCGGGUUGUCAUGCCAAUGGCACUGCCCGGUAGCUAAAUGCGGAAGAGAUAAGUGCUGAAAGCAUCUAAGCACGAAACUUGCCCCGAGAUGAGUUCUCCCUGAGACUUAGAGUCUCCUGAAGGAACGUUGAAGACGACGACGUUGAUAGGCCGGGUGUGUAAGCGCAGCGAUGCGUUGAGCUAACCGGUACUAAUGAACCGUGAGGCUUAACCUU